CAAAGGCAGACUUAUUUGGUAAAGGACAGGAGGAGGUAGUGUAAGGAAUGUUUUGAAGAAAAAUAUCAAAGUUUUUUUUGAUAAAUAUUUAAAAGGCGCCUAUUGGGCUACUUCAGGUGCGUGGUUCACCAACUGUCCUUGUCUAGAAAGAAUCACGUAUCAGAAUGUUUCCUUUCUAAAGAGAAGUGAUGUUAAGAGCCUAGUGAUAGAUAUCUGUUAGCCCAAACUCCUUAAACACUUUUCCUUUCAUAUGAUUUAGUUUUGGUUUGAAUGUUCUAAAAUAUGCCAUAGUAAUCACAGAUUUUAAAUAACUAUUUAUAGGAACCAUAACUCAUUUUCCUUGUUUGCUACAUUCUUUUAUUUUUUAUAUAAAAAUAUUAGUCUCUUGUUAUAUUAGUCACAAUAGGUUAUGCUAUCCUGCAAAACUGAAAUCUCACUGAAUUAGCACACAGGAGCUCAGGCAAACUCUGCUAUGUGUCCAAAGGCGUCUCAGGGUAGCUCCCAGUUGAUGACUCAGGGAUCCAGGUUAUCUGUAUCUUUGGUUCUACUGUGUGUCCAAAGGCUUCUCCAGGUGGCUCUCAGUGAUGAUUCAGGAAUCCAGGUUAUUUCCAUCUUCCGCUCUGCUCCAGGAUCUCAACAUGUGGCUUCCAGGUCAUCAUAUCAGGAGAAAAGGGAAUUUUGUGUGAAGUGAUGGCAGGGCCAGGACAGCAGUGUG
rnacentral:lncRNA from 1 species